GUGAAAGCAACCUGGUAUUCUAUCGUCAGCCAACUACAUGAGUAACAUUGAUUAUUUAGCUGACUACACAAGUAAUUUACUUUUUCUCAUCUUAUGAUGCUCGGAGCAAUGCUUGUGUGAUGAAGCUUACUCGCGCAACCUAUUCACAUAUGUACUGUAGCUGUUGAAGCAAAAGUUAUCUGCACAGACGGCAAUGGCAAGAGCAUAUUGUGCGGAGAAAGAGGAUGAGAAG